rnacentral:rRNA from 1 species
AACGAACGCUGGCGGUAUGCUCAACACAUGCAAGUCGAACGAACAAAAUUGGGGCUUGCUCCAAUUUUAGUGAGUGGCAAACGGGUGAGUAACACGUGGGAAUCUACCUAUCAGUACGGAAUAACAUUUGGAAACAGAUACUAAUACCGUAUAUUCUCCAAGGAGGAAAGAUUUAUCGCUGAUAGAUGAGCCCGCGUAAGAUUAGGUAGUUGGUAGGGUAAUGGCCUACCAAGCCGACGAUCUUUAGCUGGUCUGAGAGGAUGAUCAGCCACCCUGGAACUGGAACACGCCCCAGACUCCUGGGGGAGGCGGAGGUGGGGAAUAUUGGACAAGGGGCGAAGGCCUGAUCCAGCAAUACCGCGGAAAGGAUGAAGGCUUUAGGGUUGAAAAGUUUUUUUAUUUGGAAGGAUAAUGACGUAACAAAAAGAAAAAGCCCCGGCAAACCCCGGGCAAGCAGCCGCCGUAA